rnacentral:rRNA from 1 species
UACGUAGGCAGCAAGCGUUGUUCGGAGUUACUGGGCGUAAAGAGUGCGUAGGCGGUCCUGUAAGUUUGGUGUGAAAUCUCCCGGCUCAACUGGGAGGGUGCGCCGAAGACUGCAGGGCUUGAGUAUGGGAGAGGUAAGCGGAAUUCCUGGUGUAGCGGUGAAAUGCGUAGAUAUCAGGAGGAACACCUGUGGUGUAGACAGCUUUCUGGACCAUAGCUGACGCUGAGACACGAAAGCGUGGGUAGCAAACAGG